rnacentral:rRNA from 1 species
UGCGCAGGUGGGUUGGCAAGUUUGAUGUGAAAGCCCCGGGCUUAACCCGGGAAUGGCAUUGAAUACUGUCGAUCUGGAGGAUUGGAGGGGGGGACUGGAAUUCUUGGUGUAGCAGUGAAAUGCGUAGAUAUCAAGAGGAACACCAGUGGCGAAGGCGAGUCCCUGGACAAUACCUGACACUGAGGCACGGAAGGCUAGGGGAAGCAAACA